UUCUUCAGAACUAGGCCAAAGCUCAGAGAACCUUCAUCUCUGAGACUACAGCUGCCGGAGAAGCUACUUCAUCAGCAGAUUACCCCCUGAGAUCAGACACCUUACAAGGUCCAGAACCGACAAGGCUGUACAUGGGAUUCAGACAGCAAGCCGAAUAUAACACCUUCAAGGAAAAACUCCAAUACAGCAGAGAUACAUAAACGUGACAUCGAAAACAUGAAGCGGAAAAAUUUCCAAAGGGACGCCGAGGACUACCGCACAAACAGGGUAUAUAAAUGGCAGAACAACUACCCUCGCCCACCCCUGGAACGACAAAAGGACUACCUCUCCUCUUCCGACUCCGCCAUCUCGAGCCGCGACAGCCGAUACAGAACAGAAAACCCUCCUCCCGCCUUCCCGGGAUCCCGAAGAAACCGUGGUCGCAGAGGGAGACAAGACGCAACUGGAGCAUACACCGGAAGGACGACCAGAUCGCAGAGCAGAUACUGACCCCAACCUACAUUCCUAUUGGGGAACUGAAUAGAUC